rnacentral:rRNA from 1 species
GACGAACGCUGGCGGCGUGCUUAACACAUGCAAGUCGAACGGAAAGGCCUCUUUCGGGGGGUACUCGAGUGGCGAACGGGUGAGUAACACGUGAGUAACCUGCCCUUGACUUUGGGAUAACUUCAGGAAACUGGGGCUAAUACCGGAUAGGAGCUCCUGCUGCAUGGUGGGGGUUGGAAAGUUUCGGCGGUUGGGGAUGGACUCGCGGCUUAUCAGCUUGUUGGUGGGGUAGUGGCUUACCAAGGCUUUGACGGGUAGCCGGCCUGAGAGGGUGACCGGCCACAUUGGGACUGAGAUACGGCCCAGACUCCUACGGGAGGCAGCAGUGGGGAAUAUUGCACAAUGGGUGGAAGCCUGAUGCAGCAACGCCGUGUGCGGGAUGACGGCCUUCGGGUUGUAAACCGCUUUCGCUCAUGGCGAAGCUUUGUGUGACGGCAGUGGGUAAAGAAGCACCGGCUAACUACGUG